AUCUGGAUCAAAAAGUUCAUGAACGGUGAGUGCAUGGAAUGGAGAGCAAAAAUAUGAGGUGGAAGAGGAGGGGGUAACCUUGGUCGAAGUAGGUGCCUGCCGCCGUCGCCGUCGCCGUUACCGGAUCGGACACGAGCUUCGAGGCGGAGAGGUGGUCCGGGGAAGGAGGAGGGUGGCGGCCGCGGUCUGUCACCGUCGCUGUCACUGGAGGGGCGGAGCGUGGAUCCUAAGCACCGGGGGGAGGGCUGCGAGGGACGUCGCUUCGUUCGCCGGCGGUGGAGGUCGGAGGCGGAGAUGGAUCUUGGUCGACGGCGCCUGGUCGGUCGCGAGAGAGCGAGCGAGUCGAGGGUUUUCUCCCUGGCCUAUCGACACCGGGCGAGCUAUCCCCGGGAUGGGCCGGGGAAAGGACAGGGGUCUUUCCCCUUCGCGGGUCACCAAAUGGCGCUCUCUGCUGCCCCGGGCCAACUCAGCCCAUGGUUAUCCGACCCAGGAAAAUAGCGGGGAUCCCGGGGGAUCCCUUGAAACCAAAUGAGGGUCGGUGGGAGGCCAGUCUGUGGCGUUUGUGUAUUUUUUUCUUAAAGAAGGCAAAAGAUUUGCCAUUUCAUUGAUUAAGAAAGAAGGUUUCAAACAAGAACCACGGAGUGGCAAAAUAAAAA